CUUUAUCGGAGAGUUUGAUCCUGGCUCAGGACGAACGCUGGCGGCGUGCCUAAUACAUGCAAGUCGAGCGGACAGAUGGGAGCUUGCUCCCUGAUGUUAGCGGCGGACGGGUGAGUAACACGUGGGUAACCUGCCUGUAAGACUGGGAUAACUCCGGGAAACCGGGGCUAAUACCGGAUGCUUGAUUGAACCGCAUGGUUCAAUUAUAAAAGGUGGCUUCUGCUACCACUUACAGAUGGACCCGCGGCGCAUUAGCUAGUUGGUGAGGUAACGGCUCACCAAGGCAACGAUGCGUAGCCGACCUGAGAGGGUGAUCGGCCACACUGGGACUGAGACACGGCCCAGACUCCUACGGGAGGCAGCAGUAGGGAAUCUUCCGCAAUGGACGAAAGUCUGACGGAGCAACGCCGCGUGAGUGAUGAAGGUUUUCGGAUCGUAAAGCUCUGUUGUUAGGGAAGAACAAGUGCCGUUCAAAUAGGGCGGCACCUUGACGGUACCUAACCAGAAAGCCACGGCUAACUACGUGCCAGCAGCCGCGGUAAUACGUAGGUGGCAAGCGUUGUCCGGAAUUAUUGGGCGUAAAGGGCUCGCAGGCGGUUUCUUAAGUCUGAUGUGAAAGCCCCCGGCUCAACCGGGGAGGGUCAUUGGAAACUGGGGAACUUGAGUGCAGAAGAGGAGAGUGGAAUUCCACGUGUAGCGGUGAAAUGCGUAGAGAUGUGGAGGAACACCAGUGGCGAAGGCGACUCUCUGGUCUGUAACUGACGCUGAGGAGCGAAAGCGUGGGGAGCGAACAGGAUUAGAUACC
rnacentral:rRNA from 1 species